rnacentral:lncRNA from 1 species
AUGAUUUCUUCAUCAUCUCAAAUCAUUGAUAGAUGGACCUAAGGUUGAUCAACCUUCUUUGAUCCAAAACUGUUGAUAGAUGAUCAUGAAUCAUCUUCAAUACUUUGCAUCAAUGAUAGGUUAACCCUCAAUGCGCUAUAUUUUGAGUCCUUUGAUUUGUGGAUAGAAUGAUCCCUAUUUGAUUGACUUGAUUCCCCUUUUAAUUCUCUCUAUCUUCAUUUCUUUAUUUUGCUUUGAUCAUUGUGUCACAUGUUGUAAGAGGUUAAC